rnacentral:rRNA from 1 species
ACGCUCGACACCUACGGGAGACAGCAGUUGGGAAUAUUGGACAAUGGAGGAAACUCUGAUCCAGUGACGCCGCGUGAAGGAAGAAGGUCUUCGGAUUGUAAACUUAUUUUGUCAGGGAAGAAAAAAUGACUGUACCUGAAGAAAAAGCACCGGCUAACUACGUGCCAGCAGCCGCGGUAAUCUGAGCGGGCUGGCAAGGC